AAAAGCAGGGGAUCGAAAGACCUUGCGCUAAAGGAGCGGCUGAUGUCUGAUUAGCUAGUUGGUGGGGUAAAGGCUUACCAAGGCAACGAUCAGUAGCUGGUCUGAGAGGACGACCAGCCACACUGGGACUGAGACACGGCCCAGACUCCUACGGGAGGCAGCAGUGGGGAAUUUUGGACAAUGGGCGAAAGCCUGAUCCAGCCAUGCCGCGUGAGUGAAGAAGGCCUUCGGGUUGUAAAGCUCUUUUAGUCGGGNAGAAAGAGUCAUAGUAAAUAGCUAUGAUUUAUGACGGUACCGACAGAAAAAGCACCGGCUAACUACGU
rnacentral:rRNA from 1 species